CGUACGGGUGAGUAACACGUGGAUCAUCUGCCCUGGAGUGGGGAAUAACGAUGGGAAACCGUCGCUAAUACCGCAUAAUCCCGAGAGGGGAAAGCAGAAAUGCGCUCAAGGAGGAGUCCGCGGCCGAUUAGCUUGUUGGUAGGGUAAUGGCCUACCAAGGCUGCGAUCGGUAGCUGGUCUGAGAGGAUGGUCAGCCACACUGGGACUGAGACACGGCCCAG
rnacentral:rRNA from 1 species